ensembl:lncRNA
CUACACCUGUUGUAUUUAGCAUUUCACGGUAAGGUCUACCUACACCUGUUGUAUUCAGCAUUUCACGGUAAGGUCUACCUACACCUGUUGUAUUCAGCAUUUCACUGUAAGGUCUACCUACACCUGUUGUAUUCAGCAUUUCACUGUAAGGUCUACCUACACCUGUUGUAUUCAGCAUUUCACUGUAAGGUCUACCUACACCUGUUGUAUUCAGCAUUUCACGGUAAGGUCUACCUACACCUGUUGUAUUCAGCAUUUCACGGUAAGGUCUACCUACACCUGUUGUAUUCAGCAUUUCACGGUAAGGUCUACCUACACCUGUUGUAUUCAGCAUUUCACGGUAAGGUCUACUACACCUGUUGUAUUCAGCAUUUCAC